rnacentral:rRNA from 1 species
CGGACGGGUGAGUAACGCGUGGAUAACCUGCCUCACACAGGGGGAUAACAGUUAGAAAUGACUGCUAAUACCGCAUAAGCGCACAGUACCGCAUGGUACAGUGUGAAAAACUCCGGUGGUGUGAGAUGGAUCCGCGUCUGAUUAGGUAGUUGGUGGGGUAACGGCCCUCCAAGCCGACGAUCAGUAGCCGACCUGAGAGGGUGACCGGCCACAUUGGGACUGAGACACGGCCCAA